UUAGGUGGCCAUGGCGACGGGGCCCACCCCUUACCAUUCCGAACAGGGAAGUUAAGCCCGUCUGCGCCGAUGGUACUGCUACACCAAGUGGGAGAGUAGGCCGCCGCCUUUUUUUGAA
rnacentral:rRNA from 1 species